ensembl:lncRNA
GUGUUACUUCCAAGCUAAGCAACAGGUACCCUAACAACUGCAGCUCACUCUGAUGAAGACAGGCUGUACUGCACUGAUACCCUGGGUGGAAAAUCAUCACUGAUCAUCACUCAACAAUCAAGACCACCACAAAAACCCAAUGACUGGUAUCAACUUACCACUUCGUUGGGAAGCUGCUGGAAAACAUGGAACAGGAUGCUUGGACUUCUCUUCCCACAUACAUCAAUAAAAUAAAUCAGGGAUUCAUUACUCAGCAUGGGCAAGGGCAGCCUCCAGGGAGCAUCUGAGUUGCAGCUGGUGGGAUACUGGAGCCGAGGCCUCUUUGUCAGGCUGGCUGUGGUGGGGAGGGUUCCUGGCACCGUGAUUUGGUGGACAAACAGAAAUAAAAAUCACAUUGCCAGGGAUUUCCACCCCUGCACUGCUCUCCAGGUGCUCGAGGGCAACUCACUCCACCUGCACGCGGACACACCUUCUCCCAUGACUCAUCCUCUGAUACCUCAUAGCUGUGGACAGAAGAACAGGGCUUUGUCAGUGAAAGGUGUCAAUGGGUUCACACUGCUGCGAAUACAACCGGGCCUUAAAGAGAUAUUGCUGACAUUAGCUGUGCGCCGCUGGAUGUCCGAGAUGCCUUUGAUGCUGUGCAAGUGUUCUUUGCACGUUUUUUGCACGAGUGCUGCUCUAAAUUAAAGAGCGUUCUGGCCUUGUUUGCGCAACCUCUCAGGCAUCCAGUUAAUUUCAGUGCCGCUCCUCGGUAUGUUUUUCGAACUCAACAAACACACAAACAGUGAGUCACGUCUUUGGAAAUAUUAUGUAUGAAUAGAUAAUGACUUACUGGAAUAGCAAGUUGAGGGAAAGUAUAGCUGGCCACAAAGCUCUUCUGGCUCGCAACGUGCUUACAUUGUGCUCAGUGGGUUGUUAUUUGCAUGCUAACUAUGAAAACCACACGUUAUGAUUCAUAAACUGUCUAUGUCACUCUAGAAGCCAUUCAUUCAUAUCAGUUGCAUGCUACAUGGGGUGAAAUAGCCUGAUGUGGGACAUUUUUGCUUUCGGGAUUCCUAUUUGAGGAUUUUUUCAGCCUAGGCUAAGAUUGGACAUUUAAGAGCUCGGCGAAUUUUGAAUACAGGCCAACAUAGCUUGAGCUAACCCAUGGUUUUAUUGACUUUCAUGACUUUUAUUUUGUGUAAGCCCUAGGGUGCAUCCGCAUUGUGCAUUAACUAGUACUUCUAGUUUGUUUUUGUUUUAGGAUACAAGAGCGAGUAUCAUCAUAACAUUUUCCCAUGUCUUAUACACGCUAAAGAGCAAGCCAGACCCCACCGGUCAUGAUUAUUACCACCAACUGCAGUGUCUACCAUGGGUGGUAAUGUCUUUUUAAAUGUAUGCCCUGUAUAUUUUGGUUUAAAAAAGGAAUGUUAAAUGCCCUGGCACACCUGGCAACCACUAUAAGGCCUCACUUCAACUACAGUAAUUCAUGUGACUUGUCAUGAGCAUGUUGACUAGUUUACAACCUAACAAGGUAACACUUACAACAUACAGGUGUGAGCAUUUGUAAAGUGUUCUCUGUAUUAACACUUCAUUAGCAGCUUACAUUUUGCUAUCCUAUGAAUAUUUCUUCAGUAAAAUACAGAAUUGGGAUGCACCCCUACACUAAACCACGCUUAAAUGUCCCACAUAAAGAGAGUUCAGUCUACAGUCUGCUAGGCAGUCCACUAUCUGUCUCCACCUCAUACGCUUUGUUGUCGCUCCAGCCCAGACUGUCACUUGCUAAAGGCUCAGAGCUUAGCUAAUUGGUGAGCACUGGUCCCUUCAAUGUUCUGUUCACAGUGGCUAAGUUCAGCGUCUGCAGUGAAAGAAUUGACUGGAUGAUGAAGAAAAGCUCUUUACCGGAUAAUCACAGCACUACUCCCGUGAAGCCUGAGGGUGGAACACUGAUAGAGAGUUUGUGGUGUGAGGAGGUGGAGAAGUGUGCAGAAGGUUUUUUUUUUUAUAAAGAAGGACAGAAUACUUUGGAAAUGUCAAACUAGUUAUGGCACACUGAUCUCCUAUUGACCUUCCCUAAAGAGCAGUUUUGGCUUGAAAUAAUAGAACAAGUUUAUACAGGCCUCUCACUGUGCCCACUGACCUGGAGUGGCCAAUAGGUCAAACCACCAUUAACAGAAACUGGCAAAAACCAAUUGGGAAGCUAAUGUUUCACAUUUUAGUUUUUUUCUUUACCUUUGUGUGUUUGCUCCAAUUCAACUGGUUUAAUUUGGUCUAAAUUUAUAAAUAUAUAAAUAAAUAAAUAAAUAGAAGAAACUUCUAUUU